CACUUAAAACCAACCUACAAAAAUAUGUAGAUCUGAAACUAAAACUUCACAUUAAACCUGAACACUACAGCUGCCCACUGGAACAUUGCAGUUCAGGGAAAAAUAAGAUAUCGAGGAUGGGUUUGGAUAUGUUAAAUUUUGAAUGUGGGUCCUAUGCAUUUAAGGGUUUGAACAUAUCCACUGCUGCUGUGUGCGCUCUGGUGAUUGGAGCAGCAGUGGUGGCAGGAGUGAUACUGUUCAUGCGCCUGGUGAAAGAAAAGAAAAUCUGAUCGAGUUCAUUCCUCUGAAACCAACUGCGCUGUCAAUGAAAUCAUGACUGAAAUAAAAGUCUGUUUUUGGGGUCAUUUUGGUGUUGAUGUUUAAUCAAACCUAUUGAUACAGAUGCAUUUGAUUUUUAUCAUUUAAUUGUUUAAUUGUGAAUUCCAUCACUUCCAUUCUUUAUCUCAGAAAAAGCAUUUAAUUGUUUUCUGUAGUAGUCAGACACAUUUGAGUUGUUCAGAAAUUUCUCACUGGUAUUUGGUUAAGGAGUCAAACUCAGGUAAGACAGAUAGAAUGAUUAAUGAUGAGAAAUUUUGCCAUCAACUACAAAUGAUUGAAUAACAAAAGUAAUAUUGGGUACAAGCUUAGAUUUAAUAAUUGUUAGCCUACACAGUUUGAGUGCUGUAAACUGUAAACAUGAUGUCAUAUAGCAGCCGAAUGAUUUGAUCACAUCCAUCCCCACAUUACUGGUCAUUCUUGGAGUUGUGGAAGAUGGAAAAACUGCGCUGUACACUGAUGCGUUCAAAACCUAAACUAAUCACUCUGUUAGCAAUGCCUUUGAAACACUCAUACUUGGCCUUCUGUCUGUGAAGCAACAGAAGGCCAACACAAGAACACAAUGCAUCUUAGAAAAAUCUAAUUUUUUUUCCUAAACUUUGUUGAAUAAAUAUACAUGAUUGAAAACAAAAAUAAAAUGUAAGUGGAUUCUGUCAGUGUACCUCAGUGAGUGGGCAAGUAUUCCUAACUUUUACUCCAAGCUGUCAGA